GACGAACGCUGGCGGCGUGCUUAACACAUGCAAGUCGAACGGAAAGGCCCUGCUUUUGUGGGGUGCUCGAGUGGCGAACGGGUGAGUAACACGUGAGUAACCUGCCCUUGACUUUGGGAUAACUUCAGGAAACUGGGGCUAAUACCGGAUAGGAGCUCCUGCUGCAUGGUGGGGGUUGGAAAGUUUCGGCGGUUGGGGAUGGACUCGCGGCUUAUCAGCUUGUUGGUGGGGUAGUGGCUUACCAAGGCUUUGACGGUUAGCCGGCCUGAGGGGGUGAACGGCCGCAUUGGUGCUGAUAAGCGGCCGAGCCUCCUACGGGAGGCAGCAGUGGGGGAUAUUGCAGAAUGGGCGGAGGCCUGAUGCAGCAACGCCGCGUGCGGGGUGACGGCCUUCGGGGUGUAAACCGCUUUCGCCUGUGACGAAGCGUGAGUGACGGUCAGGGGUAAAGAAGCCCCGUCUAACUACG
rnacentral:rRNA from 1 species